AGUGAACGCUGGCGGCAGGCCUAACACAUGCAAGUCGAGCGGCAGCGCGGGGCAACCCUGGCGGCGAGCGGCGGACGGGUGAGGAAUACAUCGGAAUCUACCCAGUCGUGGGGGAUAACGUAAGGAAACUUACGCUAAUACCGCAUACGACCUGAGGGUGAAAGCAGGGGACCGCAAGGCCUUGCGCGAUUGGAUGAGCCGAUGUCCGAUUAGCUAGUUGGUGAGGUAAAGGCUCACCAAGGCGACGAUCGGUAGCUGGUCUGAGAGGAUGAUCAGCCACACUGGAACUGAGACACGGUCCAGACUCCUACGGGAGGCAGCAGUGGGGAAUAUUGGACAAUGGGCGCAAGCCUGAUCCAGCCAUGCCGCGUGUGUGAAGAAGGCCUCGGGUUGUAAAGCACUUUUGUUGGGGAAGAAAUCUUCCGACCUAAUACGUCGGGAGGCUGACGGUACCCAAAAGAAUAAGCACCGGCUAACUUCGUGCCAGCAGCCGCGGUAAUACGAAGGGUGCAAGCGUUACUCGGAAUUACUGGGCGUAAAAGCGUGCGUAGGUGGUUCGUUAAGUCUGCCGUGAAAAGCCCCCGGGCUCAACCUGGGAAUGGCGGUGGAUACUGGCGGACUAGAGUGCGGUAGAGGGUGGUGGAAUUCCCGGUGUAGCAGUGAAAAUGCGUAGAGAUCGGGAGAAC
rnacentral:rRNA from 1 species